AGACCUACGGGACGCAGCAGUGGGGAAUAUUGGGCAAUGGGCGCAAGCCUGACCCAGCAACGCCGCGUGAAGGAAGAAGGCUUUCGGGUUGUAAACUUCUUUUAAGGGGGACGAACAAAUGACGGUACCCCUUGAAUAAGCCACGGCUAACUACGUGCCAGCAGCCGCGGUAAUACGUAGGUGGCAAGCGUUAUCCGGAAUGAUUGGGCGUAAAGGGUGCGCAGGCGGUCCUGC
rnacentral:rRNA from 1 species